rnacentral:lncRNA from 1 species
UUUCCUCAAAAAACCUUGGGAGGAAAGAGCAAAGGCUCGAUUCAGCUGCAGCUGAGCUCAUAGGGAAUGGCAACCUGUGCAGUCUAUACCACUCCAUCCCUCCACUCAUGUUCUAUCACCAGCCCAGCAAAGACUUCAUUGGGCUUCCACCAAAGGCAGGUCAUCUUCUUCACUAGCAGGAGAAUUACCAAGAGAGGAGGGAGGAGUACCUCAGAGGUCACGUGCUCUGCUGAGGCUAAGACGGUGGUGAUAGGGCUGGCAGCAGACUCGGGCUGCGGGAAGAGCACCUUCAUGAGGAGGCUGACGAGUGUGUUCGGAGGUGCAGCUGAGCCACCCAAGGGAGGAAACCCAGACUCCAACACAUUGAUCAGUGACACCACCACUGUCAUAUGCCUGGAUGACUACCACUCCUUGGACAGAACCGGGAGGAAGGAGAAGGGUGUCACUGCUCUGGACCCGAGGGCCAACAACUUCGAC